rnacentral:rRNA from 1 species
UAGGGAAUCUUCCGCAAUGGACGCAAGUCUGACGGAGCAACGCCGCGUGAGUGAAGAAGGUUUUCGGAUCGUAAAACUCUGUUGUUAGAGAAGAACAAGUGCUAGAGUAACUGUUAGCGCCUUGACGGUAUCUAACCAGAAAGCCACGGCUAACUACGUGCCAGCAGCCGCGGUAAUACGUAGGUGGCAAGCGUUGUCCGGAUUUAUUGGGCGUAAAGCGAGCGCAGGCGGUUCCUUAAGUCUGAUGUGAAAGCCCCCGGCUCAACCGGGGAGGGUCAUUGGAAACUGGGGAACUUGAGUGCAGAAGAGGAGAGUGGAAUUCCAUGUGUAGCGGUGAAAUGCGUAGAUAUAUGGAGGAACACCAGUGGCGAAGGCGACUCUCUGGUCUGUAACUGACGCUGAGGCUCGAAAGCGUGGGUAGCAAACAGGAUUAGAUACCCUGGUAGUCCACGCCGUAAACGAUGAGUGCUAAGUGUUGGAGGGUUUCCGCCCUUCAGUGCCGUAGCUAACGCAUUAAGCACUCCGCCUGGGGAGUACGACCGCAAGGUUG